UACGUAGGCAGCGAGCGUUGUUCGGAUUUACUGGGCGUAAAGGGCGCGUAGGCGGUCAGCACAAGUCAGUUGUGAAAUCUCCGGGCUUAACUCGGAAAGGUCAACUGAUACUGUGCGACUAGAGUGCGGAAGGGGCAACUGGAAUUCUCGGUGUAGCGGUGAAAUGCGUAGAUAUCGAGAGGAACACCUGCGGCGAAGGCGGGUUGCUGGGCCGACACUGACGCUGAUGCGCGAAAGCCAGGGGAGCGAACGGG
rnacentral:rRNA from 1 species